CGAAGGGCUUCGCCCUUCGAUGUUAUAUUCCGCCCCUUCGGGGCU
rnacentral:sRNA from 1 species